rnacentral:rRNA from 1 species
UACGAAGGGGGCUAGCGUUGCUCGGAAUUACUGGGCGUAAAGCGCACGUAGGCGGUCUUUUAAGUCGGGGGUGAAAUCCUGGAGCUCAACUCCAGAACUGCCUUUGAUACUGAAGAUCUUGAGUUCGGGAGAGGUGAGUGGAACUGCGAGUGUAGAGGUGAAAUUCGUAGAUAUUCGGAAGAACACCAGUGGCGAAGGCGACUCACUGGACACGAUUGACGCUGAGGUGCGAAAGCGUGGGGAGCAAACAGGG